ACCGAGAAACACGCAACCCACAAACUAUUCUACGUGAACGCAGACGGCCACUGCUUCAUGCUCCUAUACAGCACUGGAAGUAGCCCAUAAACUUCUUCCUCCCCUGCACCACAAACAAGAAGAAAAGCAUACGGAUAAGGGACAAAGUAAUCUGCCUGCCAGACUAGUAUGUUUUGGUUCUUCCUGAAGGAGGAAAAAGCACCCUUUCCCUGGAACGAACGAUGAGAUAGACAGGUAACUUUUGCUCCUCCUCUCCCAACAUGUCACAAUGUACUUGUUGCAGUCAGUGCGAGUACAUCAAUCAUUAAUCUGUCAUAAAUUUCCACAGGGCCAUCACACCACACUCUCUGAUCAAUCCCAUCAAUGCAUGGGAUACCGGAGCCAAUCGCUUUGCCACCCCCCACCGGCUGCUUCAUCUCUCCGUCAGCUUCUCCACCACGCGCAAAUGGGCCACCGUCCCACUACGGCCGAAGGCCUCGCCCACUUCCAUGAUUCCAGGUCUGGAAAUGGCCGAUGACUUCUACUAGCUACAUUGCAUGGUUUUCAAGUCUCACAUUCCUCUCCCACGAUUUCAUUCCACUCCCAACAAAAAUCUCUAUUUUGUGCAGGCCACGGAUUUAAUACGCAGCCGUGUUCUUCAAGCUAAGUUUCAUGGCUAUUUCUGAAAUGUGAAUCUAUCGAUAUUUUCUACGGAGAAUUAAGUGAUUACUUCCAACAUUUUUCUCCCAAAAAAAUGAAAAUUAAAAAGGAAAAGUAAAGAGGGAGAUCGAAAGUACGGUGGGUGAGCCGUGGUGGUGGUGGAUGGGGCGGCGUAGGUCGGGCUCGGGAAGGCUGUGGCGUGGCGCCUCCUGCUCCUCCUUGUUGGUGGUGCCGGAUCGGAGCUCGUCGUCGUUUCCGAGGCUGGCGCGGGAGGUGUUCUUGUUCUGCUUCCGCAUCUCCCGGAUCUUGGUGAAGUCCAUGGAG